GGAAGAAAGAAAGUGAAUUGAAUCAUAUGCCCUUAGUCCAUUUUAUUAUUGCUAUCUAAUCAAGGCUCGUGGAAGUUGGAUCAUUCUGGGCCUCGAAGUGGACGAGGCCUUCGUUUGUGUUGGGCUUGAAGCCCAAGAGUCCCGGACUGUAUUGCAAGUGCAAGACUGCAAGGUUCGUGAAAAAAAUAAUGAUUUCAACGGCCAGAAUUAAGUGAGGGUUCUCGUUUUCAAAAAGCUACCCGUGGUCGUGAUGCACCUAAUAGUGUCCCAUUCUAUCGCAAGUCACUCCUUCACAAACGGUGUAAAUAGUAGAUACUCCUGAAAGAGGAGGGAAAGAGUGUACCGCCAUUGGCUUCCAGAGGUUUUUGAAAUGUUGGGGGAGUCUGAGGAAGCGGAUGUUAGCAACACUUCGGAGGCUGCGACGGUAUUGGCUGGCGACGAGGAGAUGCAGCGUGUCAAAGGCCGUCGUUCGCUCGCUGCCUCUUCUGGCCGUGAAGGACUUGUUUUCUGCCGGGGUUGGCAUGAGAGGCAUCGUUAGGCUAUUUGGGGUUCAAGGACUAUAUAUUCUUGCUCUUCUAUUCUCAACUGAUGUUGUGUGGUGCUGUUUGAGAAACGGCAGAUACAGGACAUAUGGUUGGCAUUGACAUUAGAAAGAAUGGAUCAACUUCUAUAUCUAAAGAUUCAGAAGUCGAUCCAAAAUUUUGUGUCAUUUGUUUGGGCAUUCUGCAGUUUUGUUAUCAUGAUGAGAAAGAAGUAUUGGUGAGAAGGGAGAAUGCCAAGGACUUUGCUAUAUCUAUUGCUAAACUUGUGAAGCAAGGUGGUCAUGAAAUUGAUGGAUUUCUCUUGAAGUUUCGGUACCAUAAGUGAUUUUGGAAAAUGAGCAAAUGGCUUGGUAAGUAUUUCUUACAUUGAGAAACCAGCUUGAAUUGUCAAUAACCCUGAAUUUGCUGGGUUCAAAUUCUGGAAGUUCAUAUCAUUGAAUAAUGAGGUUACCAGGUAGUCAAAAGUGGCCUAAGUUCGACUUAUUGUUUUUUUAUGAGAUGUCACUUUUGCCUUCUAUCAUGCAUGGAGUUGCUUCAGAGUUGCUUAUGGAAUGCAGAACAGCAUGUUCAUUGUGCAAAGAGUGAGAGAGCAGAAAGACAGAGAUGGAGAAUUUACAUUCAAAAUAGUCCAAUAUCAGUAUAUCACCCUCUUCAGGUAUGUCUGCAUUUCCCAAGGGUUGCGAGAUAAAAUAAGAAUUGAAGCUGUGCAUUGAUUCCUUAUUAGUUUGCAACUAUGUCCAGAGAUAAAUAAAUGAAGUGGCUUUCUCUAUACUAUUGAAAAAUUAGUAAAUUACCUUUUCUCAUGGGCCGGGCUUGGGUUAAAAUUGUAGGCCCAAAUCAGAAUGCCGGCCUGAUAAAAAGCAGAUUUAAGAAAUUUCUUUCUCUUGGGCCGGGCUUGGGUCAAAAUGUAAGCCCAAAUGUUUUUUGAUAGAACUCACUACUCAGGUUUGUCUUAUUGUUCUUUGAGCCCGAUCCGGUUUUUUUUUAACUAGAUUUCCCAUGAAUAUGGGGUCAGGCUUUAGUAAAGAUUUUAGAUACAGUGGGCCCAGCCCAAGACCAUGAGAUCCAAAAGAAUGAAUUGACGGUUGACACAAAUCUGGCCCAAGCCCGCCCAUGAUAUCCUCUAAUUCGCAGACAGAACUCAUAAACCAUAUUAAUCUUAAAUAAUUUAUAGUUAUUUGGAGUAAAUAAAUACACAUAACACGAAACAUAAGCUAUUUAUGCCACUAGCAUACUUUGGCACGUAUUUUCAACCACUUCCUAUUUUUGGCGUGCGACUAGGUUGAAGAUAAGAAAAAAGGAAGCAAUCCAAGAAUUAUU